UACGGGGGGGGCAAGCGUUGUUCGGAAUUACUGGGCGUAAAGGGCUCGUAGGUGGCCAACUAAGUCGGACGUGAAAUCCCUCGGCUUAACCGGGGAACUGCGCCUGAUACUGGUUGGCUUGAGUUUGGGAGAGGGACGCGGAAUUCCAGGUGUAGCGGUGAAAUGCGUAGAUAUCUGGAGGAACACCGGUGGCGAAGGCGGCGUCCUGGACCAAUACUGACACUGAGGAGCGAAAGCCAGGGGAGCAAACGGG
rnacentral:rRNA from 1 species